rnacentral:rRNA from 1 species
UCCGGUGGCUCUGGCGAGGGGGAAACACCCGUUCCCAUUCCGAACACGGCAGUUAAGCCCCUCAGCGCCGAUGGUACUGCAUGGGAAACUAUGUGGGAGAGUAGGUCGCCGCCGGGA